rnacentral:rRNA from 1 species
CCUACGGGAGGCAGCAGUGAGGAAUAUUGGUCAAUGGACGAGAGUCUGAACCAGCCAAGUCGCGUGAAGGAUGACUGCCCUAUGGGUUGUAAACUUCUUUUAUCUGGGAAUAAAAUGUUCCACGUGUGGGAUUUUGUAUGUACCAUAUGAAUAAGGAUCGGCUAACUCCGUGCCAGCAGCCGCGGUAAUACGGAGGAUCCGAGCGUUAUCCGGAUUUAUUGGGUUUAAAGGGAGCGUAGGUGGAUUGUUAAGUCAGUUGUGAAAGUUUGCGGCUCAACCGUAAAAUUGCAGUUGAAACUGGCAGUCUUGAGUACAGUAGAGGUGGGCGGAAUGCGUGGUGUAGCGGUGAAAUGCUUAGAUAUCACGAAGAACUCCGAUUGCGAAGGCAGUUCACUGGACUGCAACUGACACUGAGGCUCGAAAGUGUGGGUAUCAAACAGGAUUAGAUACCCCAGUAGUC